rnacentral:misc_RNA from 1 species
UUCGAACAUCUGAAGUGAGUCUUGUCAAUAAGGAUCUAUUCAGGCAAUGGAAGGAAAAUAAGAACAAUCCAGUCAAGGUCAACAUGAGCGACUUGUUUGAACAUUUGGUGCUCAAUAUGAUAACAAGAAUGGUGGCAGGAAAGCGAUACUUCGAAGGUGACAAUAAUGGGCACGAUGAAAAGGGACGUCCCAUUGGAGAAGUCAUGAGGGAAUUCAUGUAUUUUGCUGGUGCUUCUGUUCCUUCUGACUUGAUUCCUUUUCUAGGAUGGACGGAAUUCAUGUAUG